CCCCCUUCCGUCGCCCUGAUUCCUCUACCUCUCCCCUCGUCUGCCGCCGCCACCACUCACCACCGUCCUCCCCCACAGCCGUCGUCACCACUGGCACCCUCCCCCACAGCUGAUGCCCCCACCCCCUUCUUUUAUCUCCUCGUCUUCUCCCCACCAAUGGCGACCUCCUCCCCUCCCACUCGCCCCAGAUCGAGGAGCUGGUCCGGAUCGGAUGCAGGCUCAAAUCUCACACGCCCACAUCGCUGCUUCAGCUUGAGGGCGCCAUGGACAAGGGCUCUAUCCUGCUCUCGCUCCGCCGUCGAUCCGUCCUUCUCGUCGCCCGCGCCCUAUGGUAUGGGCGGCGAUGGUCGCUGCGGUUGUGGGUGUCUCCGCUCUCGCAAUAGGCCAUGGCCCUCCUCAUGACCCGCAUAAUCUGCCUCUUUUGUUGCUUUCGUCGGGUGUGAAGUGAGCCUCAAUUUCUAUUUCUGCUGAUUAGUAAUUAUUUUCUGUUCUUGGAUGUUUACAGAAAUUUAGGGAGUAUCUGUCAUCAAAAGAUUUUAGUGAUCUACGCUCCAAGGCUUAUUUCAGGGUCAAGUGAAGGUGGGGCAUGGUAUAUUUGAGGUCAUGCCUGUGUUUACAGUCGAACAUUCCAACACACAUAGGAAUCUGUGUGAGAUUGUAUGGGUGAUUAUUUUGGGGUCAAGAAUAUUGAUAGGGUGUAGUUCAUUUGCAAAACAAUGACUCUGAACUUGUUUCUGUAUACAAAUUUGCCAUAUUAUAGAUGGAUUCUUCAUAGAAUUGUUUAGAUUGUUUACUGAAAAUUGCAAGAAGGAACUUGAGACAAUUAAUAAGGCAAUAUCCAUUUGAACCACCAAAGGUAAAAUAUUUCUUGAUUGGUUAUUCCAGUUAUGUUACAAUAUUUGAUUUUCAUAGCUCAGGAUGUCGAUUCACAUUUCUUAAUUCCUGUAUGCUGGUUUCUUUCUACCUCUUGACAGGGAGAUCCAGGAAGGAGCUAAUUGCCCCCAUGGCGUCGCAUCGUCGUGAGGAGGACAAAAGUGAGCACGGUACCUUCGACAAAUCAAUCCCAUUUCCCCCCUUCUAUGCGACACAGAUAGGUCACACUGAUUCAACAAGUAUGUGCGAUUUGUUGUGCACAAAUUAAACAUUUAUGCAAUUAGGAUGUGGAUCUUUGAGAUAUUCAGCUUUGUAUGUUGAUUGGGGAUUAGUUGUUAGUGAAAGAGACAGAGAAAUAGAGGGAUUUUUUUUUUCAAAAAAAGUUUAGAUAUUGAGUUGUACGCCUACUUUAGAAUGUAAUCUUGGUGUUCAAACUGCAUUAUACCAUUACUAAAAAGAUUUGGAAUUUAUAUUGUAUGUGAUUGGUUUGUAGGGCUGUAGGCUGGUGACAUACAUACUGGUUAGGGGUAGAUAUAUGUGAUUUGUGUGCCGUGUCGAAUCCAGGUAACACAAUGCUCCAAACUCACAUCAAAGGAAAAAGCUGAUCAAUAGGUUUCAGCCAUGGUUAGCCUCUCUUGCAAUUUUGUGACGUGAGGUUUUAGCCUUACUUUUUCUGUCAAUGGAUGCAGAUUAGCUUGGUGGCCUGCAUCUAUAAUUCUUUGUAGUUUUUUUCAUGUUGUUUGGCUAAUAGUUCUGCUCUGUAUCAUCUCCAAACAAGGGUUAGUUAGCUAUCUUUAGAUCUUUUUUGGUACACAAACACUGCAUGUAUUUGUAAGUAUAGCAGGAUUUAAAUCCGUUUUGUAUUUACAUGGCAGAACUACCACUUAAAUUAGUGCCUUUUAUUUCUUCAUCAAAAAAGGUUGCUCUUUCAGUUUCCUCCAAGUCCAAGUUCAGUUUGAACUAUCCAAACAGGGAUUUACUGAUUGUAUAUUCUUUGCCCACUUGCUAUUUUUUUGCUCACGCCGUCGUUGUGAUUAGAAAAAGUAGGAUCAUAACCUUUUUAUAUGCUUGGUCACUCUUUAGACUACGGUGUUGAAGACACAGCUUUACCUCUUCAACCAUCUGUGAACUAUACUGUGCCAGAAUUGGUCCCUAGUGGUGAUUCUAAAUUAGGCUUUACCUGUGACAUAUUUAGUUUUGGAUGCUUGGCUUACCACUUAGUUUCUCAUAGACCACUUCUGGAUUGCCAUAAUAAUAUGAAAAUGGUAUCUCUUUUAAUCUGGCACAUGCUUUGUCAAAAUAUAAUGUAUUUAAUCUGGACUUCGCUCUACCUUUGACAUAUGCUAUGGCUGCAUAUGCAGAAAAUAUACUGACAUGUCCCCCUCUAAUUGCAGUUAUGAAUUCAUUGACAUAUUUAACAAGUGAAGCCUUUUCUAAUAUUCCUACUCAUCUGGUGAUUGAUUUGCAAAAUAUGCUAUCAGUUGAUUUGGAAGCACUUCCAUCCUUUGCGACAACUGAUAUCUAUAUUCUUGAUACUUAUCUAUUACUGUAUCAGCAACAUGAAUAAAUCAGUUUUGCUUUGGUCUCUUGGACUGAAUGAGGUUUGGUUAACUCGUUUUGGUUUCGUCUGUGCUUCUGUACAGGAGAAUUUUCGUUGGGGGUGUAGCCUGGGAGACAACCAAAGGUAGGUAUGAGUAAUUCUUGUAGGUUAUUUUGAUAAUGAUGGGGGCGAUUUUAGAUUUGUGGCAAACGAUGUGGGUGGGCCAGUUUAGAAUGCAGCAGCAGUUCUAAAAUGACGAACUGUGCUUCGUAUUUCAAGUUGUAUCGCUUUAAUUUCACGCAAAAAAAAUUGUGUCGCUUUAAUAAUUUCAUGGUCCUUUUGAUAGAUUUCACUUAAAUGCGCAUUGUUAUGUUUUUCUCACGAUUUAUUAUUCUGUACAUGAAACAUAUCGUAAAAGCUCACCAAGUUUGUCAUCCCAUGUUCAGUCGCUAUGAGCCUAUGAAGAAUACUCCUUGCCACCAGAGCGUUGGCCUUCUUAUAAUAAGAUGAUGAGCCAAUUGUCAAGCUGCUAGCUAUUUGUGCAGCUACAUUCCGUUAGAGAACAGUCACUAAUUGGGAAUAAAAAAUGCACAGCCUUGAGUAAGAGAGGAUAAUUGGUUAGCAUUUCUUCACCUUUGAGGUUCGCCGUGGCAGUCAUCAAGUCCUGACCAGGGCCACAUUGCAGAAGCAUCAAACCAUGUUGAUGUUUAUUUUAUUGAUGAUAAAUGUCAGUACUUGUCCGUUUCGCCGAGGUGCAUCUCCAUCUACCCGGGCAUGGAUUACCUGCCCAUGAAGUUUGGAAGUGGGAGCUACAAAUCGUCUUUGUCGCACCGGACAUAGCCUUUGAGAGUGUGUUGCCCACUAGAAGAAAUUGCAUCUAUAUAGCUUGUGUAGCAAAGUUUCUUCAUUCAGAUGCUUUUCUAUCAUGUACUCUAUAAUCCAACUGCCUUGCCUGAUUUUUGAACCAGCUACCAUAUAUGUAAAUGCAUCAUCUAACAAGGUCUACUGCUGCGUGCUACUCCCCAAAAUUUAAUAUACUAUCACCUCUAAUGGAUUUCAGCUAGAUUUAUGUAUC